AUGGGGGGUGCCUAUCAUGCAAGUCGAGCGGACUUGACGGAAGCUUGCUUCCGUUCAAGUUAGCGGCGGACGGGUGAGUAACACGUGGGUAACCUGCCUGUAAGACUGGGAUAACUCCGGGAAACCGGGGCUAAUACCGGAUAUUCUUUUUCUUCGCAUGAAGAAGAAUGGAAAGGCGGCUUUUAGCUGUCGCUUACAGAUGGACCCGCGGCGCAUUAGCUAGUUGGUGAGGUAACGGCUCACCAAGGCAACGAUGCGUAGCCGACCUGAGAGGGUGAUCGGCCACACUGGGACUGAGACACGGCCCAGACUCCUACGGGAGGCAGCAGUAGGGAAUCUUCCGCAAUGGACGAAAGUCUGACGGAGCAACGCCGCGUGAGUGAAGAAGGUUUUCGGAUCGUAAAGCUCUGUUGUCAGGGAAGAACAAGUACGGAAGUAACUGUCCGUACCUUGACGGUACCUGACCAGAAAGCCACGGCUAACUACGUGCCAGCAGCCGCGGUAAUACGUAGGUGGCAAGCGUUGUCCGGAAUUAUUGGGCGUAAAGCGCGCGCAGGCGGCUUCUUAAGUCUGAUGUGAAAGCCCACGGCUCAACCGUGGAGGGUCAUUGGAAACUGGGAGGCUUGAGUGCAGAAGAGGAGAGCGGAAUUCCACGUGUAGCGGUGAAAUGCGUAGAGAUGUGGAGGAACACCAGUGGCGAAGGCGGCUCUCUGGUCUGUAACUGACGCUGAGGCGCGAAAGCGUGGGGAGCGAACAGGAUUAGAUACCCUGGUAGUCCACGCCGUAAACGAUGAGUGCUA
rnacentral:rRNA from 1 species